GGGGAAGAUUUAGAAGAUAUAUAACUUACCUAUUACAGUUUUAGGCAUUUGUUUCAAAAAUAUAUAAAGAACUGUUGUAUCUAAUGAUCUCAUAAUGGGAUUACCAUUAACAAAAAGAAUUUGAAACCUGUAAAAAGACUGAUAGGACUAUAAUAGAAUUUGUAAAUGUUGAUUUAAAAAUCAUUUCUAAUGUGUCCCUUUCAGAAGAAAUAUUAAAAGCUUUAAAUUAAAAGAUGAAAAGAUUAAGACUGAUGAUUGUUUUGUUUCAUUGUUUUGAGAAAAGGUGUUUGGAUGGACUGGUGAACUAGGACCUGGAAUUUACUGGUUAAUUCCUUCCACAACUGGCUGUAGGCUGAGGAAAAAAAUAAAACCAGUAACAGAUGAAGCCCAACUUGUAUAUAGAGAUGAAACAGGGGAAUUAUUCCUUACAAAGGAAUUUAAGUCUACUUUAUCAGAUAUAUUUGAAGUAAUUGAUUUAGAUGGAAAUGGUCUUCUUAGCCUUGAAGAAUAUAAUUUUUUUGAAUUGAGAACAAGUGGUGAGAAAUGUGAUGAAGAUGCUUGGGCUGUCUGCAGAGAGAAUUUUGAUACAAAGAGGAAUGAACUAACAAGACAAGGAUUUAUGGAUUUGAAUCUAAUGGAAGCUAAUGAUCGAGAAGGAGAUCCUUGUGACCUUUGGGUAACUCUACACUCUAUGGGCUACAAUAAAGCUCUGGAGUUGACAGAGGCAUGUCCAUUUGUCAUUGAUAUCUAUGCAGAAAAAUGCAAGCCAAAAAUUAAAGCUGUCCAUAUGGAGGCAUGUAGUGGACAACUUGAGAAGGCCAUUUGUAAAUCUGUUCUUAGCAACGGUGAUGCCAAAGUAAUGGAUGGCUAUGAAAAUAUAAUUGUGCAUACUUACAGUUGUGACACCUGGAUAACGUCAGUUAUUGAAAACAAGGUAUCAAUUAUGAGGUGGUUUUCCUCGUUUUGCUACAAAGCUUACUAAUAUAUUUCAUCUUAUUCCUUACUCUAUUCGUAUGUGGUAAUUAAGUAUCCCAUCACAUUAAUAAUGUUUAUAAUGCAUAAUUAUUUUCUCUCCUCAAGUUUCUAACUCAAACUGGGAGUGGUAAUUUUUAUAUGAUUUUUAAAGGUUUCCAAUUUUUUCUCUUAAAAUAUUAGGAAAAUUAAACAUUUGGAUAUCAAUGAAAAUAGAGCACAAUCUGGGUACAAAAUAUUUUAUUUAGUUUGUUUCUAAAAGUUUUUAUGUAUACACAGCUAUUUUAAUAAUAGAUAUCAUGUUUUAAAGAAAUAUUAUAAGGAAAGAAAAAAAUUUCAACCCAGCGCUUUACACUAACAUUGCAGAGAUCCUAUAAAUUAUCAUUAUUUAAUAUAACUAAAUAUAUUCUACUGUCCCAAGGCCUGCUUUCAUCAAGCUGAUUAUUUCUACCUUUGGCUCUCUUCCCUGCUAUUAAUACUAUUGAUAUUACAGGUCAAGAGAAUACGAGCAUAAAUUCUUAGUCAGAAAUAUCCAGUUCUCUAGAAAUUAUAAAUUUUCAUAAAACUUUAUAUAAGAUGGCUAGGUGCUCAGUACUGUUGACUUAUUUCUUUUAGGUCCUAGGUGAGACAUAUUUUUAUGCCUGCCAUAAAUUUCUUAAAAUACUUAAGAUUUGGCAGCGUUUUUAGUCAACCUGAAAAUAUAUUAUGUACUAUUUUAGUUACAAUAGGAGCCACCAGAAAGUGUAAAACUUGAUCUCUGCGUUCAAGGAGUUUAUGGGCUAUAAUUGGAAAGACAAAAUUAAUACUCUUGAAAGACAUCAGAGAAGAAUUAAACGUUACAUAAUGUAGUACUGUUUGUGUGUGCGAUAGGGGUUUAUUCUGUUUCUCUUGUAGUUGUUGCUAAUUUGGACCAUAGAAGUUGGGGAAGGAUUUGUUAUGAGGGGGAAGGGAACUGUGAUAUGGGAUUUGAGCACUGAAGGAUGACUAAGAUUUAGAUAUGCAGACAGACAGCCUUUAGAAGCGGGGGAAACAGUGUAAGGAGAAACAAGGCGAAGGGUAUAUAUGAAGUAUAAAGGAAAGAGUGAGAAUAUCUGCUUUGCAGAAAUAGACAGCUUUAUUUGGAGGAGGAUUAGGAGGUAAAUAACAUACAGAAUGGAUCCAAAUUAUAUAUGUUAUCUUGAAAACGAGAUAGAGGAGUUUAGACUUGAUUAACUAAGCUUGGGUCCCCACCUAGUAGAUUGCAGUUUUCAAAUGAACCAAUCAUGCCUCAGAGGGUGAUUCCUAAGAUCCAUCAUGGUUCCCUUUCUGCCCUUUAUGUUUUAUUAGGGUUAAAAAGGUGAAGGGAGUCACUACCUUACCCCAACCCCUCUGUUCUGCUAUCACCUAUUAGUUCUCAAUUCUGUGCCUCCUUUUUCCUCAAGGAAAAUUCAACUCUCUUCACCAAAAUGUGAUAAUAAUGUGAACAUUUUAGACCUUAUUGUUUGCCAGGCAUUUACAUAUAUUAGAGCAUUUACUUCUCACAGCAACCGUAUGACAUAAGUGCUAUUCUCAUUUUACAAACAGGAAACUGAAACACAGAGCAGUUAAAUAACUUGCAAAUGAUUAGACAGCUAAGUAGUAGAAGAGUUGAGAAAUAAAUUCAGGUAGUCUAACAUUAUACUACCCCCUUUGUAGUCAUUAGGGUAUGAUCGCAGAUUCUUAGUAGGGGAAUAUUUUUAUUCCUGCAUUUUUCCCAUUUAUCAGUGUCAUUCUGCUUUCCCUUGCUCCCUAUCCAUCCUAGAGGCCAUUGUCUAUUAUCUCAGUUGUCACUUCUUCCAUAAAGUCUUUCUUGAAACCCCAGUCCGAGCUAAUGUUCAUCUUCUGUGUUUCUACAGAUCCUUCUAAAUACCUCUGUUACAAGACUCAGCAAAGUGUUUUGUAAUUGUCAUUUUAUUUGUCUGUCUCCCCUAGAGUGUGAGCUAGGAGUCAGUAAUUCUAUCUUUUAUCUCAGUGCACCUAGACCCUAAAACAAUGCCUGAUACAAAGUUGAUAAUAAAUAUAUUUGUUUAUAUAUUGUCAAUGAAGGAGUAAAAAGAUGUUUUAGACAUAUUAGUUGGAAGGUAGUAUUAAAAUGAAUGGAAGCUGAAAAAACUAGAGAUAACAACAAAAAAAAUAGAGACUAUUGGUAUCAUAAGUCAAGGAUGAAAUAAUGUGACCCUAGUGUCCAUAAUACCCUGGGAAUGAAGAUUAAAAGGUAAGUAAAUUUAAGUCACAUUUAAAAGAAAAAGUUUAUAUAAAUGGUGACAGAUUGGAAAGAAAAUGAAUGAGAAAAAGUAAAAAAGUUGAAAGAAGUAGCCAAUUUGUAUGAAUUUGUAGUGCACUAUAUGAUGUUAAAACAGAAUUUCAGGGUUCAUUCUGAGGCUUAUAUUUGUCUGUAAUUAUUAAAGAAAGGACUAGCAGCUUAUGAAAUCUUUUUUUUAUAGUCAGAUGAGAAAGUGAUUAUUCACAUCAACAAUGAGCUAAGUAAAAACUGCGUAAACAACAGAGGACUCAACAUAUUUGCAGUAGAAGUGGGACCCAAAUCUACAAUGGUUUGUCAACAUGUAAUGCCUCUGAAUGAACGAGAAGAAUGGAUAUAUUAUUGUAUAUAUUCUCUUAUUUCUUAAAUAAUUAUACUUAGAACUUACCAAACUAAGAAUUAUUUCAGAUUUAGUCUGUUAUUUAUUAAACAACUAAAUGCUACUUAAUUUAACUGACGUACCUAAAUAAUAAUCUAUUCAAUUUAUAUGCAUUUUCAUUUUAUGUCCAUGUUAUGUACUUUAUUAUUAAAAUAUAAAUAAUGCUUUCA
rnacentral:sRNA from 1 species